rnacentral:rRNA from 1 species
CCCUUAGAUGUCCUGGGCCGCACGCGCGCUACACUGAUGCAUUCAACGAGUUUUACCUUGGCCGAGAGGCCUGGGCAAUCUUUUGAACCUGCAUCGUGAUAGGGAUAGAUUAUUGCAAUUAUUAAUCUUGAACGAGGAAUUCCUAGUAAACGCAGAUCAUCAAUCUGCAUUGAUUACGUCCCUGCCCUUUGUACACACCGCCCGUCGCACCUACCGAUCGAAUGGUCCGGUGAAGCCUCGGGAUUGUGGCGAGUUCCCUUUAUUGGGAGUUUGUCGCGAGAACUUGUCUAAACCUUAUCAUUUAGAGGAAGGUGAAGUCGUAACA